UAGCUCAGUCGGUUAGAGCAUGGUGCUGAUAACACCAAGGUCAUGGGUUCAAUCCCUGU
rnacentral:tRNA from 1 species